UACGGGGGGGGCAAGCGUUGUUCGGAAUUACUGGGCGUAAAGGGCGCGUAGGCGGCCUGCUAAGUCGGAUGUGAAAUCCCUCGGCUCAACCGAGGAACUGCAUCCGAUACUGGCGGGCUUGAAUCCGGGAGAGGGAUGUGGAAUUCCAGGUGUAGCGGUGAAAUGCGUAGAUAUCUGGAGGAACACCGGUGGCGAAGGCGGCUCUCUGGGCCUUACCUGACGCUGAGGAGCGAAAGCGUGGGUAGCGAACAGG
rnacentral:rRNA from 1 species